GAUGGACGCUAGCUACAGGCUUAACACAUGCAAGUCGAGGGGAAACGACAUCGAAAGCUUGCUUUUGAUGGGCGUCGACCGGCGCACGGGUGAGUAACGCGUAUCCAACCUGCCCAUCACUUGGGAAUAACCUUGCGAAAGUAAGACUAAUACCCAAUGACAUCCCACGAAGACAUCUGAAUGGGAUUAAAGAUUUAUCGGUGAUGGAUGGGGAUGCGUCUGAUUAGCUUGUUGGCGGGGUAACGGCCCACCAAGGCAACGAUCAGUAGGGGUUCUGAGAGGAAGGUCCCCCACAUUGGAACUGAGACACGGUCCAAACUCCUACGGGAGGCAGCAGUGAGGAAUAUUGGUCAAUGGGCGAGAGCCUGAACCAGCCAAGUAGCGUGCAGGAUGACGGCCCUAUGGGUUGUAAACUGCUUUUAUAAGGGAAUAAAGUGGGUCUCGUGAGACUUUUUGCAUGUACCUUAUGAAUAAGGACCGGCUAAUUCCGUG
rnacentral:rRNA from 1 species